ACGGGGAGCAGCAGUGGGGAAUAUUGGACAAUGGGCGCAAGCCUGAUCCAGCCAUGCCGCGUGAGUGAAGAAGGCCUUCGGGUUGUAAAGCUCUUUCGUCCGGGAAGAAAUCGUGUUGUUUAACAUCCGGCGUGGAUGACGGUACCUGACUAAUAAGCACCGGCUAACUUCGUGCCAGCAGCCGCGGUAAUACGUAGGGUGCGAGCGUUAAUCGGAAUUACUGGGCGUAAAGCGUGCGUAGGCGGUCUGGUAAGUCAGAUGUGAAAGCCCCGGGCUCAACCUGGGAAUGGCGUUUGAGACUGCAAGGCUAGAGUGCGGUAGAGGGGGGUGGAAUUCCUGGUGUAGCAGUGAAAUGCGUAGAUAUCAGGAGGAACAUCGAUGGCGAAGGCAGCCACCUGGGCCA
rnacentral:rRNA from 1 species